rnacentral:lncRNA from 1 species
ACUUAUCAUUAUUUUAAUUCAAAUAUUUUGUAAAUUCAAUUAAAAAGUUGUGUUACCUUCAUCAUUGCAUUUUAAAGGUAAUUCGAGUUUUACUUAUUUACUGAUUGAGCUUAAUGUAUGCAGGUCAAGUCAUGCUUAAUUAGGUAAAACCUAAACUACACUGCAUCAUUUCACAAUUGUACAUCCUCCAGAGUCGACUCCAAGAACUCUUCUCCAAAAUUCAGUGCUUCCCAUUAAUUCCUGACUCUUCCCACCUUCACCUAAAUUUCUUCCCACUCGUUCCAACUCUUUUUUCAUAUGAUCCAAUUCUCCUAUUUUAAUCUCAAAAAUAAUAAAAUCCCUUCAAUUAUUUGUCUCUCAGAUCUCGAAGCAUACCAUCAUAUUUGCACGAAUCCCAAAGCUCCAUCCACUCCUCAUAUCUUGUUCAACUAAAAUUCCACACUCCAACCAUGUUCCCAGCCAAACCACAUUAAAAUCUUCGGAACAACAUCUUCCCAGCUCCCCUGCAUUCACGGCAUCCAAGUUUCAUCCGAUCCCUCUCCACAGCAGUUUCUCUUCCCUACCACAACUGCAACCGCAAGCUAACUCAGCCAUUCAUCUCACAACCACGUCAUCCUUCCCAGCAAAACAACAUCAUCUCCAGCGUCCACAUCGUCUGCAGUCCAAGGAUUUCCUCCCAACCGGAUGAGCACCCAAGCUUAUUCCCCAUUCCGUGGAUUGCGUUCCCAAGCCUCCUGGAUUGACCCCACCGUUCACAGUUCCAAAUCCGGCAUCUCCUCUCAGCCGAGAACACUAUCCCACGUCAUCCAUAUCAUCCCAGAUUUUAUCCAAACUCUCUCCCAGCCGAAUCAAGCUAUCCAUCAUCCACGGAUUCUCUCGUCUUCAUCCCAUCAUCCGCAUCACCCUCAUUUGCUUCCUCAUCUUUGAAUUAACUCCCCUGUUUCACGCAUCCAGCUUCUCCUCCACGUUCCGGAUUAGAUCACAUCUCCCAGCUUGCGAUCAUCCUUAUCCCAGCAGCUUCUUCUCUCCCACUGCAUCCACGUCACCAGGUAUCCGUUCCUUGUUAUCAGCCGAGAUCCCAACAUCCUAGCUUGCAUUCUUAUCCUGUUUGUAAUUAAUCAUCCUUAUCCCAGCAAAUCCAAACAUCCCUGCUUCAAGAUCAGUUCGAAUCCCAUCUUCUCCGAAUCCCCUACCUCCUCAUCCCAACUCUAUCCUCUCGGAACAAAUCUCAUCCCAUUCGCAACCAGCCAAAUCCCAGCAAACCUCAGGAUCUCAUCCAAUUCCUCCCAACGGCUUUAUUCUCAUGCGAUUCAUCAUCCCCUGUUCACAGCCGGAUGAACAUCCGCAACAAUCUCAUGCCCAUCUCCCAGAUCUCCAGCCAACGGCAGCACAACCAAACUACCAGCAUCCGGAUCAGAGCCAACAACGAAUUCAUCGCAUCCAAGGAUCAAGGAACAGAGCCGGGAUCUUCUCAACGUCCGCAUCAUCCCCUGCAUCCAAAGCCAAAGCCAGCCUUGUCAACGCGAUCGUCUCCCAGUCCACAUCCUUCCCAACGUCCGAAUCGGCUCAAAUCUUCCGCACCGCGUCCCAGCCGCGUCCAAGAAUCCUUCCACGUGUUGAAGAAGCCUGGCUCCUUCGUUUCAUUCCCUGGAUUCGCAUCAACAGCUCACCUUCUUUCCAACUCCCGGAUCAGCUCUAUCUUCAUCGCACGUCCGCCGCUUCUCCGUCGUUAUCUUCCCACUAGGAAGAUCUUAUCCAUGUGAGGGAAGUAGGGCGCUGGGGAAGCUAUAAAAGGAGGAAAGUUCUCUUCACGGCAUCAUCUCUUCGCUGGAGAAGCUUGGGUUCCCAGACCAAGUUUCCACAAAAAUAAGUGGGAGAGAUAGUAGUUUGGGUAUUUUGGGAAUGAUUUUUCAAAGAAAAAAUAAUGAAGUUCAAGAGGGAGAGGAAGCCGACGGGAGAAAAAAAGGAGAACCCAGUCAUGAUGAAGGCCUUCUACAUCGCUGUUGCUGUCGCCCACGACUCCAUGGAAGGCUGAUCUCCUCACUAGGGCUGGAUGCAGCCCUAACAAAGGGCUAAGGGUUUUAUAUUUUAAUUUUCUAUUCCUGGAGUUGUAUAAACUUUAUUUUGCUCCCAAUGAAUAUUUUAUUUCAUCUCAUAUUUAAUUUCUAUGAUUUUAAGUAUGAUGCUUAUGCAAGUAUUCUUCAUUAUCACAAAGUAAAUAUAAGAUAAUCCAUGCAUAAGGAAGAUGUGGUGUGCUACCACCUUAGAUUAGGAUAGAUAUUUCAUACCAACUGAAAAUGGAUUAUUCCCAAAUUGCUUUUAUGAAUUUCUAUUUAAAUGCUUAUUAGGCUUGUAGCCAAUUUGCAUGUUAAUCCAAAAAUAAAUUAAAAUACAAUUAAUCCUUGUUCCGAUGUUAGUGGUGUAUUCCUUGCCCUAGGUCCCCUCACACUGAUAUCACUUCAAUUGCAUUUUCAUUAAAUUUCUUAGUUUAAUUUUCUUUAUAAAUUUUCCUUUUUAAAUAUUUUUUUUAGAAAACAACUAUACCCCAAUCUCUGUGAAUCGAUACCCGUAAUCACUAUUCUACUAGAUACGUGCUAUUGCGUGGUCUUUAAAAUUGACUAUCAAGAGGAAGGAUGUGAACUUCCUUCUUUGGGCCAAGAGGGGGAUGCGAUGCAGGGGCCUCCCGUGAUCGCAUAGAAUGGGGGGCGCGUGAAGAAUGCGGACUGCUGGGAGGAGCGGACGUGGGAGAUGCUUUGAUUGCAUUGAUGGCGUGGAGGAUUUGGAAGGGAUGCCACGGCUGCAGGUUUGGACGGUUGAUGGUCUAGUGAUGUUUUAUUGGAUGCAUGUUCGGAUGAGACGUGGACAGUUGGGAUUUCAUGCAUGCAUGGCAAUUGGAGAAUUUGUUGAGCUCGGGCUGUCGGGCAUUGGGCUCAAACCCAAUAUUAUUGGGUCUCUUGGAUUCCUUGCACUCAAACACAAA